rnacentral:rRNA from 1 species
GACGAACGCUGGCGGCGUGCUUAACACAUGCAAGUCGAGCGGUAAGGCCCUUUCGGGGGUACACGAGCGGCGAACGGGUGAGUAACACGUGGGUGACCUGCCCUCAGCUCUGGGAUAAGCCUGGGAAACCGGGUCUAAUACUGGAUAUGACUCCAUGACGCAUGUUGUGGGGUGGGAAAGCCUUGUGCGGCUGAGGAUGGGCCCGCGGCCUAUCAGCUUGUUGGUGGGGUGAUGGCCUACCAAGGCGACGACGGGUAGCCGGCCUGAGAGGGCGACCGGCCACACUGGGACUGAGACACGGCCCAGACUCCUACGGGAGGGCGAGCAGUGGGGAAGUCUUGUCGCAAUGGGCGAAGACCUGACGCAGCGACGCCGCGUGAGGGA